UCUAUACUAUAGAGUUUGAUCAUGGCUCAGGAUGAACGCUGGCGGCGUGCUUAACACAUGCAAGUCGAACGAUGAAGCAGAGCUUGCUCUGUGGAUUAGUGGCGAACGGGUGAGUAACACGUGAGUAACCUGCCCUUGACUCUGGGAUAAGCACUGGAAACGGUGUCUAAUACCGGAUACGAGCUUCAGCCGCAUGGCUAGGAGCUGGAAAGAAUUUCGGUCAAGGAUGGACUCGCGGCCUAUCAGCUAGUUGGUGAGGUAAUGGCCCACCAAGGCGACGACGGGUAGCCGGCCUGAGAGGGUGACCGGCCACACUGGGACUGAGACACGGCCCAGACUCCUACGGGAGGCAGCAGUGGGGAAUAUUGCACAAUGGGCGCAAGCCUGAUGCAGCAACGCCGCGUGAGGGACGACGGCCUUCGGGUUGUAAACCUCUUUUAGUAGGGAAGAAGCGAAAGUGACGGUACCUGCAGAAAAAGCACCGGCUAACUACGUGCCAG
rnacentral:rRNA from 1 species